UUUAUUUUUAUUUUAUUUUCACUGAAAAUAGUGCUUUUCCUCAGUUUUUGUCUCAUAGAGAUGUAAUGUUGGUCUGUGUGCUGAAGCGCAUGGAAUGCAUCUGCGGGGUAAUUUCAUUCUCACUAAAAGAAGAAAACAUGGUUGGAUCAGCAGAUUAACUCAAACCUGCUGAGUAAAAAUAAUCAACAGGUUUGAUUAUUUUUAAGGUGAUCAAGGUGUGUAGUCAAACACGUAUAUUUAUAAGUAGCUGCGAGCAUAUAAGGUGUGCCGCGUAAUGGAAGGAUUCAGAGGGAGCAAUUGAUCAGAGAUCAUAUUGAUCUGCUGGGAAGUGAUGGUUUAUGAGCGUUGAGACUGCUCAGACUGAUCAUUCUGGAUUUCUGAGCAAAACUUAGAGAGCCGUGUGGUACCGGUACCAGUCCAGUUGCAGUCAUCCUUCAAUCGAGCCGCUCGCUUUGUGAAUGCGCCUUUUGGACAUAAAGCAUCUUUAUUCUGUAAAUGUACAAUUCAUGCACAGGAUUCUACUAUUUAGAAUAAACGUCCACUUUCCCCACUCAAAGGACUCUCUGACACGCUGUCUUUAAAUCCCGGCUGAAGGCUCUACUGUUCAAACAGGCAUUUGUACCAUCUUAAUUGAUUUUUUUUUUCUUUAAAAUACAUUUUUAUUUUUGUAAAAGUGACAUUAUGUGCCCUCAAAGCACCUUUUAAAUAAAAUACAGGGCUUAAAGAGCUCCGGCAGGGGGCCAGAUUUCCGGCUUUUGACCAAACAGUCUGCCUCAACCAAACUAGUCUCCAGGCUGGACCGGAACGUGUCGGCGGCGACACAUCUAAAUUUGCAGUACCGUAAUUCCGCCACACGUAGCGCUAUCUGAAAAAUUCCAACGGUUUCUGAAAGGGGAGACGUUGCACUUUCCAGCAAUUAUCGGGUUAAUACGGCAACUUCACAGCUGCAGCUGCAGAGAGUGUAAUUAAUCCGGGGGCACUUGUUUAAAUUGCGAAAAUAACUUGCUGGAUAUUGAAAGUUCCGGUUGUUAUGGAUACAUGGGUAAGUAUAUCAUCUCACAGGACAUUUAAAGAACUACUUACAAUUAAAAUAAGGAAGAUUUAUUUAGUCAGACGUUUGAAACUUAGGCGUAAAGAGCUCCGUCUG